rnacentral:rRNA from 1 species
CCUACGGGAGGCAGCAGUGGGGAAUAUUGCACAAUGGGGGAAACCCUGAUGCAGCGACGCCGCGUGAAGGAAGAAGUAUUUCGGUAUGUAAACUUCUAUCAGCAGGGAAGAAAAUGACGGUACUUGUCCCAUAACCCCCGGCUAACUCCGUGCCAGCAGCCGCGGUCAUACGUAGGGGGCAAGCGUUAUCCGGAUUUACUGGGUGUAACGGGAGCGUAGGCGGUGCGGCAAGUCAGAAGUGAAAGCCCGGGGCUCAACUCCGGGACUGCUUUUGAAACUGUUGAACUAGAUUGCAGGAGAGGUAAGUAGAAUUCCAAGUGUAGCGGUGAAAUGCGUAGAUAUUAGGAGGAACACCAGUGGCGAAGGCGGCUUACUGGACUGUAAAUGACGCUGAGGCUCGAAAGCGUGGGGAGCAAACAGGAUUAGAUACCCGGGUAGUC